CUCCUCCACCGUGAGUUCUUCCUUGACCAUUUUCUCCACCGCCGGCGCCGCCGCUCGCCGCCACCACACCGGACCACCCUCAAGCCACCGUCCACGCCGCCGUACGCCACCAUCACCCCCUCCCGCCGUCCCUCUCUCUCUCUCUUGGCCGUGAGGCCCUCGGCCACGCGCAAGCCACGCCAUCGCCGUCCAAGCCGAUCGCCGCCACCCGGAAGUUGUACGUCAUCGCCGUUGUCCCCGAUUAAGGGUCGCUGCUUUCCGUUCUAGCCGAGGAAGUCUAGAACGCGGAACCCCGACAGGACCCAUGAAUCUUCCGCCACCGCCACCAGAACGUUUUGGAGUCCUCAGUGGAUGGGACGGUAUAAAGGGACUCAGACUCAGAGGACAAGGAAUCAGACUCAAAAUGGGUUUUUGGCGAGCACCCUUUUUGGAGUAGUAGUAAACCCAAGUUUUCAUCCUUGGAGUAUCGGUUUUUGAGAAAGGCGAUAUGCAUGUACAUGUAUGGGACAGUUUAUAAAUGUAAAUAUUAUGGUAUAAGAAGGAAAUGAAAAAGAUAUGUAUAUU